rnacentral:rRNA from 1 species
GAUGAACGCUGGCGGCGUGCCUAAUACAUGCAAGUCGAGCGAACAGAUAAGGAGCUUGCUCCUUUGACGUUAGCGGCGGACGGGUGAGUAACACGUGGGUAACCUACCUAUAAGACUGGGAUAACUUCGGGAAACCGGAGCUAAUACCGGAUAACAUUUGGAACCGCAUGGUUCUAAAGUGAAAGAUGGUUUUGCUAUCACUUAUAGAUGGACCCGCGCCGUAUUAGCUAGUUGGUAAGGUAACGGCUUACCAAGGCAACGAUACGUAGCCGACCUGAGAGAGUGAUCGGCCGCACUGGAACUGAGACGCGGUCCAGACUCCUGCGGGAGGCAGCAGUAGGGAAUCUUCCGCAAUGGGCGAAAGCCUGACGGAGCAACGCCGCGUGAGUGAUGAAGGGUUUCGGCUCGUAAAACUCUGUUAUUAGGGAAGAACAAAUGUGUAAGUAACUGUGCACGUCUUGACGGUACCUAAUCAGAAAGCCACGGCUAACUACGUG